CGGCGAGCGAACGGGGAGGAGCCCAGAGUCUGAAUCAGCAUGUGUGUUAGUGGAAGCGUCUGGAAAGGCGCGCGAUACAGGGUGACAGCCCCGUACACAAAAGCGCAUAUGCUGUGAGCUCGAUGAGUAGGGCGGGACACGUGGUAUCCUGUCUGAAUAUGGGGGGACCAUCCUCCAAGGCUAAAUACUCCUGACUGACCGAUAGUGAACCAGUACCGUGAGGGAAAGGCGAAAAGAACCCCGGCGAGGGGAGUGAAAAAGAACCUGAAACCGUGUACGUACAAGCAGUGGGAGCACCCUUUGGGGUGUGACUGCGUACCUUUUGUAUAAUGGGUCAGCGACUUAUAUUCUGUAGCAAGGUUAACCGUAUAGGGGAGCCGCAGGGAAACCGAGUCUUAACCGGGCGUUAAGUUGCAGGGUAUAGACCCGAAACCCGGUGAUCUAGCCAUGGGCAGGUUGAAGGUUGGGUAACACUAACUGGAGGACCGAACCGACUAAUGUUGAAAAAUUAGCGGAUGACCUGUGGCUGGGGGUGAAAGGCCAAUCAAACCGGGAGAUAGCUGGUUCUCCCCGAAAGCUAUUUAGGUAGCGCCUCGUGAAUUCAUCUCCGGGGGUAGAGCACUGUUUCGGCUAGGGGGCCAUCCCGGCUUACCAACCCGAUGCAAACUGCGAAUACCGGAGAAUGUUAUCACGGGAGACACACGGCGGGUGCUAACGUCCGUCGUGAAGAGGGAAACAACCCAGACCGCCAGCUAAGGUCCCAAAGUCAUGGUUAAGUGGGAAACGAUGUGGGAAGGCCCAGACAGCCAGGAUGUUGGCUUAGAAGCAGCCAUCAUUUAAAGAAAGCGUAAUAGCUCACUGGUCGAGUCGGCCUGCGCGGAAGAUGUAACGGGGCUAAACCAU
rnacentral:rRNA from 1 species